rnacentral:rRNA from 1 species
UACGGGGGGGGCAAGCGUUGUUCGGAGUUACUGGGCGUAAAGGGCUCGUAGGCGGCCAACUAAGUCAGACGUGAAAUCCCUCGGCUUAACCGAGGAACUGCGUCUGAUACUGGAUGGCUAGAGAUUGGGAGAGGGAUGCGGAAUUCCAGGUGUAGCGGUGAAAUGCGUAGAUAUCUGGAGGAACACCGGUGGCGAAGGCGGCAUCCUGGACCAACACUGACGCUGAGGAGCGAAAGCCAGGGGAGCAAACGGG